rnacentral:misc_RNA from 1 species
CGUUGUUGUUGUUGGCAGUAUUCGUCUGCGUGCAGUUAGCGAUCGCAGGCUUGAAUAUAGAAGCCAGAAAGGAAGCGGAUGCGUCUGCAGAAAGCUCCGGAUCGAAAAGUUCCCAAGUGGAAAAAAAGGAAGAAUCAUCGCAAAGCUCCUCGGCUUCUAAAUCGUCAAAUGAAAAAGAAAGCUCGAAAAUCGACGGAGCCACAGAAAUCAGCGGAAGCUUAGAAACCGGCCGAGGCUCGGAAAGCGACAAAAAAUGGAAGAACGGCGGAAGCUCCGAAAGUGGCGAAAAUUGGAAGAACGGUGGAAGCUCGGAAAGCGGCAAAAAUUGGAAGAACGGCGGAAGCUCGGAAAGCAACAAACAUUGGAAGAGCGGUGGAAGCUCGGAAAGUGGCGAGAAAUGGAAAAACA